rnacentral:rRNA from 1 species
UACGUAGGUCCCGAGCGUUGUCCGGAUUUAUUGGGCGUAAAGCGAGCGCAGGUGGUUUAUUAAGUCUGGUGUAAAAGGCAGUGGCUCAACCAUUGUAUGCAUUGGAAACUAGUAGACUUGAGUGCAGGAGAGGAGGGUGGAAUUCCAUGUGUAGCGGUGAAAUGCGUAGAUAUAUGGAGGAACACCGGUGGCGAAAGCGGCUCUCUGGCCUGUAACUGACACUGAGGCUCGAAAGCGUGGGGAGCAAACAGG